rnacentral:lncRNA from 8 species
AUGCAUAGUGUGUCGCUCCACUGCGUGUGUGUGUCGCUCCACUGUGUGUGUGUGUGUCGCUCCACUGCGUGUGUGUGUGUCGCUCCACUGUGUGUGUCGCUCCACUGUGUGUGUGUGUGUCGCUCCUCUGUGUGUGUGUCGCUCCACUGCGUGUGUCGCUCCACUGCGUGUGUGUCGCUCCACUGUGUGUGUGUGUCGCUCCACUGCAUGUGUGUCGCUCCACUGCGUGUGUGUCGCUCCACUGCGUGUGUGUGUCGCUCCACAGCGUGUGUGUCGCUCCACUGCGUGUGUGUCGCUCCACUGCGUGUGUGUGUCGCUCCACUGCGUGUGUGUGUCGCUCCACUGUGUGUGUGUGUCACUCCACUGUGUGUGUGUCGCUCCACUGCGUACGUGUCUCUCCACUGCGUGUGUGUGUCGCUCCACUCUGUGUGUGUCGCUCCACUGCGUGUGUGUCGCUCCACUGCGUGUGUGUGUCGCUCCACUGCGUGUGUGUGUCGCUCCACUGUGUGUGUGUCGCUCCACUGCCUGUGUGUGUCGCUCCACUGCGUGUGUGUCGCUCCACUGUGUGUGUCGCUCCACUGCGUGUGUGUGUCGCUCCACUGCGUGUGUGUCGCUCCACUGCGUGUGUGUCGCUCCACUGCGUGUGUGUGUCGCUCCACUGCGUGUGUGUGUCGCUCCACUGUGUGUGUGUCGCUCCACUGCCUGUGUGUGUCGCUCCACUGCGUGUGUGUCUCUCCACUGUGUGUGUUCGCUCCACUGCGUGUGUGUGUCGCUCCACUGCGUGUGUGUCGCUCCACUGCGUGUGUGUCGCUCCACUGCGUGUGUGUGUCGCUCCACUGCGUGUGUGUGUCGCUCCACUGUGUGUGUGUGUCACUCCACUGUGUGUGUGUCGCUCCACUGCGUACGUGUCUCUCCACUGCGUGUGUGUGUCGCUCCACUCUGUGUGUGUCGCUCCACUGCGUGUGUGUCGCUCCACUGCGUGUGUGUGUCGCUCCACUGCGUGUGUGUGUCGCUCCACUGUGUGUGUGUUGCUCCACUGCCUGUGUGUGUCGCUCCACUGCGUGUGUGUCGCUCCACUGUGUGUGUCGCUCCACUGCGUGUGUGUGUCGCUCCACUGCGUGUGUGUGUGUCACUCCACUGUGUGUGUGUCGCUCCACUGUGUGUGUGUCGCUCCACUGUGUGUGGGUCGCUCCACUGUGUGUGUGUCGCUCCACUGCGUAUGUGUGUUGCUCCACUGCGUGUGUGUGUCGCUCCAAUGCGUGUGUGUGUCGCUCCACUGUGUGUGUGUCGCUCCACUGCGUGUGUGUCGCUCCACUGCGUGUGUGUCACUCCACUGCGCGUGUGUGUCGCUCCACUGCGCGUGUGUGUCGCUCCACUGCAUGUGUGUCGCUCCACUGCGUCUGUGUGUGUCGCUCCACAGCGUGUGUGUCGCUCCACUGCGUGUGUGUGUGUCGCUCCACUGCGUGUGUGUGUGUGUGUCGCUCCACUGCGUGUGUCUGUGUCACUCCACUGUGUCUGUGUGUCGCUCCACUGUGUGUGUCGCUCCACUGCGUGUGUGUCGAUCCACUGCGUGUGUGUCGCUCCACUGCGCGUGUGUGUCGCUCCACUGCGUGUGUCGCUCCACUGCGUGUGUGUGUGUGUCGCUCCACUGCGUGUGUGUGUCGCUCUACUGUGUGUGUGUCACUCCACUGCGUCUGUGUCGCUCCACUGUGUGUGUGUCGCUCCACUGCGUGUGUGUGUCACUCCACUGUGUCUGUGUGUCGCUCCACUGUGUGUAUCGCUCCACUGUGUGUGUCGCUCCACUGCGUGUGUGUCACUCCACUGCGCGUGUGUGUCGCUCCACUGCGCGUGUGUGUCUCUCCACUGCGUGUGUGUGUCGCUCUACUGCGUGUGUGUCGCUCCACUGCGUGUGUGUGUGUCGCUCCACUGUGUGUGUGUCGCUCCACUGUGUGUGUGUCGCUCCACUGUGUGUGGGUCGCUCCACUGUGUGUGUCGCUCCACUGUGUAUGUGUGUUGCUCCACUGCGUGUGUGUGUCGCUCCAAUGCGUGUGUGUGUCGCUCCACUGUGUGUGUGUCGCUCCACUGCGUGUGUGUCGCUCCACUGCGUGUGUGUGUGUCGCUCCACUGCGUGUGUGUCACUCCACUGUGUCUGUGUGUCGCUCCACUGUGUGUGUCGCUCCACUGUGUGUGUGUCGCUCCACUGCGUGUGUGUCACUCCACUGCGCGUGUGUGUCGCUCCACUGCGCGUGUGUGUCGCUCCACUGCGUGUGUGUGUCGCUCCACUGCAUGUGUGUCGCUCCACUGCGUCUGUGUGUGUGUCGCUCCACAGCGUGUGUGUCGCUCCACUGCGUGUGUGUGUGUCGCUCCACUGCGUGUGUGUGUGUGUCGCUCCACUGCGUGUGUGUGUGUCACUCCACUGUGUCUGUGUGUCGCUCCACUGUGUGUGUCGCUCCACUGUGUGUGUGUCGAUCCACUGCGUGUGUGUCGCUCCACUGCACGUGUGUGUCGCUCCACUGCGUGUGUGUGUCGCUCCACUGCGUGUGUGUCGCUCCACUGCGUGUGUGUGUGUGUCGCUCUACUGUGUGUGUGUCACUCCACUGCGUGUGUGUCGCUCCACAGCGUGUGUGUCGCUCCACUGCGUGUGUGUGUCACUCCACUGUGUCUGUGUCGCUCCACUGUGUGUGUCGCUCCACUGCGUGUGUGUCACUCCACUGCGCGUGUGUGUCGCUCCACUGCGCGUGUGUGUCGCUCCACUGCGUGUGUGUCGCUCCACUGCGUGUGUGUGUCGCUCCACUGCGUGUGUGUGUCGCUCCACUGCGUGUGUGUGUGUGUCACUCCACUGCGUGUGUGUGUGUGUCGCUCCACUGCGUGUGUGUGUGUCACUCCACUGUGUCUGUGUGUCGCUCCACUGUGUGUGUCGCUCCACUGUGUGUGUGUCGCUCCACUGUGUGUGUGUCGAUCCACUGUGUGUGUGUCGAUCCACUGCGUGUGUGUCGCUCCACUGCGCGUGUGUGUCGCUCCACUGCGGGUGUGUCGCUCCACUGCGUGUGUGUGUGUGUUGCUCCACUGCGUGUGUGUGUCGCUCCACUGUGUGUGUGUCACUCCACUGCGUGUGUGUGUCGCUCCACUGUGUGUGUGUCGCUCCACUGUGUGUGUGUUUCGCUCCACUGUGUGUGUGUGUGUUUGUCCCUCCACUGUGUGUGUGUGUGUGUGUGUGUGUGUGUGUGUGUGUGUGUGUGUGUGUGUGUGUGUCGCUCCACUGUGUGUGUGUGUGUGUGUGUCGAUCCACUGCGUGUGUGUCGCUCCACUGCGCGUGUGUGUCGCUCCACUGCGGGUGUGUCGCUCCACUGCGUGUGUGUGUGUGUCGCUCCACUGCGUGUGUGUGUCGCUCCACUGUGUGUGUGUCACUCCACUGCGUGUGUGUGUGUCGAUCCACUGUGUGUGUGUCGCUCCACUGUGUGUGUGUCGCUCCACUGCGUGUGUGUGUCGCUCCACUGUGUGUGUGUCGCUCCACUGUGUGUGUGUCGCUCCACUGUGUGUGUGUGUCGCUCCACUGUGUGUGUGUGUGUGUUUGUCCCUCCGCUGCUCUGUUGCCUCAGGGGUCUCCUGGUUAUGUGUGCGUUCAUGAGUAUCAUCUGUGAGAGAGCGCGAGUUCCACCAUUAUUAAUUGACCCUCCAGCGUCAAGCAGAACAUGUACCAUUCCCCAGCUGUUGCAUUUAUUAAUCCCAACGGUUAAAGAUGUACGACAUGUACACCCUUUACUCAAAGAUCUAGUGGUGUAUCUCUCCCAAGUGUCUGAGAUGUACAGUAAGAUAAAUAAUAAUAAUGAUAAUUGA